rnacentral:tRNA from 1 species
GAGGGUAUAACUCAAAUGGUAGAGUGCACGUUUAGCAUGCAUGAGGUCCUGAGUUCAAUCCCCAGUUGUUUCC